AACGAACGCUGGCGGCAUGCCUAACACAUGCAAGUCGAACGAGAUCUUCGGGUCUAGUGGCGCACGGGUGCGUAACGCGUGGGAAUCUGCCCUUUGGUUCGGAAUAACAGUGGGAAACGACUGCUAAUACCGGAUGAUGACGAAAGUCCAAAGAUUUAUCGCCAGAGGAUGAGCCCGCGUAGGAUUAGCUAGUUGGUGUGGUAAAGGCGCACCAAGGCGACGAUCCUUAGCUGGUCUGAGAGGAUGAUCAGCCACACUGGUACUGAGACACGGCCCAGACUCCUACGGGAGGCAGCAGUGGGGAAUAUUGGACAAUGGGCGAAAGCCUGAUCCAGCAAUGCCGCGUGAGUGAUGAAGGCCUUAGGGUUGUAAAGCUCUUUUACCCGGGAUGAUAAUGACAGUACCGGGAGAAUAAGCUCCGGCUAACUCCGUGCCAGCCGCCGCAGUAA
rnacentral:rRNA from 1 species